rnacentral:sRNA from 1 species
GCCUGCGGGACGUCGGCUAAACACGGCCACGUCCUGUGGCCAACGCCGACACUAGCACGUCGUGUGCG